ACCCUAAAGGCCUCGGUCUCCUCCAUUCCACUAACUCGACCUCAGCCUCCCUCUCUUUGCUUGUCUAUACUCGACCUCAGCCCCAAAUUUCAGAUCUUCAUAAACCCAGAUGAAAUCUCCCUCUCACUCUCUCAGUCCCUCCCUCACCCUUCUCUGAGUUGUCUAUCUCUCUCUCCUUCCAUUACCAGCUCCUGCUCCAGUCUCGAUCUCCUAAUAUCGAAAUCCUCCUCCCCUCUCUCCGUCAUGGAAUCAAAACUGAAGGUCAAGGCUUGACCGUUACUUUUUCUCAACGUCUCUCUCUCUCUCUCUGUGAUCAAAGUUUCUUCUUCUUCUUCUCUGCAAUACCCAGAUUCUUUCCUCUUCUUUGUUUCUUUUGUUUGCACAUUCAAACAUUCUUCAUGUUGGAGUGAGGCUGUUGAACUCCUCUGCUAAUCAGGCUCAGAAUAUCCUUAUGUAUCUGGCAAGAAACUUGAUUAUUGCAAAUUGUGUUUAUGUUUCUGUUGGACAAUUUGGAUUGUUUUCUGUUAACCAAUGUAUUCUGGACUCUUGAGUUUGUGUUGUAAACUGUAAACUAUGGCUAAACUUGAUUAUUGCAAAUUGAUUAUAGUUAUGCUAAUGAGUUUA